rnacentral:lncRNA from 1 species
UGAAGAAUAAGAAUGUACUAAGAAAUCCAUCUGCUUAAAAAUCAUGAAAAUUUUCCAACAAGCUGUUCAUACCAAAAGCUUCACUCUUUUAUCAAUUACCUCAUCCGCCCGUGCUUCCGGUUGAAGAAAUUUUAGGAGGGGAGCUAUAUUCCAAAAGUCUGCGGUCGAGGUAUCCAUCUACUUGCCAAAUUAAGCGUAACAAGCAGCCAAAGACGUGCCGUAAGCAAAGCUCUAGCACCUUAUAUGUCCCUCCAAGUGUAAGUUGGAUUCAAACGCCUGAGCAUCUAGGAGGGCCAAGGGCAUCAUUAAAAGCUUCUAUAUUUUAGAAGCCCAUACCACCCAACAAUUCAAGAUUUUCACAUGAAAACCCUAGUCUUCCUGUGGAUCUUACGCUCUUCCCCUUGAACCACCAAUGUUGACCGGCUAAGAAUCAUGACACCGAGAUGCCAACACGGAUUUUUUUUGAAAAUGAAUACAACACCUGAGUUACAUGCGCAAAAUAUUUAGUUUUAUAUGUUUGUUAUACAUCAUCUAUAAGGAUAAGCAAUUAUUAUAUGACAUCUAUAUGAAUAAAAUAAAAAAAGAUAUAACAAAACAUGUUAACAGUAAUUUCUAAUGUAUGACGGAGUAGAAUUUGCAUAUGCAUGCAUUGGUUUUUCUUUUAGCAUCGAAUAUAAAGUUUGCGCUUCAUGUGUGCCUAAAUGAAAUGUAUCCAAGUUUAGAAAAAAAAAAAUAGAACUUAAGUGUUUGAUGGGCGUUGUGUAGUGUCUGUGUCAAACUUGGUGCUCUCUUCCAACUGGCCCAAUAACCUAAAUGGUGCCACACCACAUGGACAAAAUGCUUGAGUCCAAAUUACAUGGCAGUAGGUAGGUGGUUGAUUAUAUACCGCACAAACUUCGUAGAUGUGAGCAUGUGGGAAAUCACAAUUUGUUUGCUUUAACUGCUGAUGGUUUUGCAAAAAGCCGACAUUCAUCUGCGAGAAAAAGUUGUGAGAACUUGAGGUCCUGAUGACACCAUGAAAGUCCUGAGGGCUAUUUGCUGAGCAACAUUUUCUGAAAGAGCAAUGAAACCUUCAGCGCAAAUAAGGAACAGAUACAGGUACAUGGUAAACCCCUUCGAGGUCUAAAAGUCUGAAAAUAAGCCCCAUUAUUCAGCACAGCAUAAGACACCACUGUCAUGCCACUUCAUCAAUAGUUCAAUAAUCCAUCUAGAUCCAAACCCCCAAAUGACCCAUCAUUAGUAAAAGAAAAACCCUCACCAUCCUGUUUGUAAGCAUGAAUCAUAUCCAGCUUCAAAUCCAAGAACCCCUCUUCUUUCCCUUGUCUCUAGUUUUUCGGUCAGGUAAUGGAAAAUCUCAAAAGCAAUUAAAAGAUCAUCAUUAAUCGGGCUACUUGGAACAAAGGCACUCUGCGUAUCUGAAUUAACAACUGGCAGCCCCAUUUAAGUUUUUUAGGCAACAACUUUGAUAUAAUCUAGCGAAUUAUAUUGCAGAAACUGAUAGGUUGGAACUCCAUCAUCAUCUUUGGCUUUUUCAUCUUGCAGAUGCAGAGAAAGUAUUAUUGAUCACGUCAAUGCUCUGGUUCCAUUAACGAUAUCAGGAAUUGCCUUAGUCAUCGCCAAAACUUUUGGAACAAAAGACCAGGUUUGUAUGGCAAGAAAAACAUCAUGAUCAGAUAAUAACAUCCAACGAUCAUAAUAUAACAACUAAAACAUAUCGAAUAAGAGGUAAUAGGAUUCUAAUACCUGCCUGUAAAAGAACAAAUAAGCUACUCUAUGAACCUAAGCUCUAAUAAGUGAAAGGCAUCACACUCCAAUAGUGAAACACAUUGCCUUUGAAUAUGGGCAAUCAGUGCCUCCUGAAUACACCCAACAUGAAAGGAAACGGGAGCUGACAUGAAGGUGAUUGAGUUAUGAGGUUCAGAACAAAACCACCAACAGUACUCUAAAGUCACACUAACAAAACACCAACUAGUUUGGCACUCAAUCUAUGAUAAUUAUUGAUAAGGAACUCCAUGACAGUAACCAAAGCUUAUAACUAUUUCGUAUCAGAAACAGUUAAAAUUAAUUCUAUUAACAUCCCACUAACUGAAACUAAUUAGUAGCACUUGAUAGGUUAUCUAAGUGAAAUAUUGCAUUAACAAAAAUGUCGUAGAAUGAAACGCAUGAGAAACAUGUACGGCCCCCUCAGGUAUCAAUUAAAAAUAUGCGCAAAAAAACCACAGAAGCUAGCCAUUAAUACAAAUAAAAAGAAGAAAUCAAUUACCAGAUAUAACAGCCUCUUGAGAAGGAAAAUACAGAAAAAUCCUUGACACAGAAUAAUGGGAAGCAAAUAUAAGAGAGAUUAACCGGGCACUUCCCUAACAGAAUUGCUUGCCUUCCCAGAGAUCCAAGACAUGUUAAAUAAAAUGCAUUCAGUGUGCUGGACAAAGUUCCCCGGGGCAUAGAAGAAGGAAGACAUUGAUCACCUGCAAUCAAUUUUUCAAACUAAAUCCUCUACUUU